rnacentral:rRNA from 1 species
UACGAAGGGGGCUAGCGUUGUUCGGAAUUACUGGGCGUAAAGGGCGCGUAGGCGGCGUGUCAAGUCAGGCGUGAAAGCCCCGGGCUCAACCUGGGAACCGCGCUUGAGACUGGCAUGCUCGAGUUCGGGAGAGGAUGGUGGAAUUCCCAGUGUAGAGGUGAAAUUCGUAGAUAUUGGGAAGAACACCGAUGGCGAAGGCAGCCAUCUGGACCGACACUGACGCUGAGGCGCGAAAGCGUGGGGAGCAAACAGGAUUGAGAUAC